rnacentral:sRNA from 1 species
UUAAUUCAAUUCUGUUCACAAUAUUGAGCACUGAUGGCUCAUCUUCUUUGCAGACCACCAAAAAUCUACCUUCUACAAUUAACACUUAUUCCUUUUCUCAUCCCUCAGCAGAAAAUUGAGUAAAACCUCUUCAUUGCCAUAAAAUAUUAAUAUAUUACCAGGGUUUCCUGUUUACCCCGAGUACAGAAUGAGACACAACAACUAAAACCUCCCUCUAGACUGCUUAAAGAGUUUAUUCCUCCAUUUUCUUUUCCUUUGGCAUUUUCUGUGAAUAUCCGUAUGAGUUAAAUGCGUACUUUUCUAACCUUUGUUAUUUUGAAAGUUAUUCUGAUAUUCCUAUCCAGUUGUGCCUCAUUUACUAGAAAUUUGCUCACAUGGCCAAAUGAUGUAUCCACAGAACAAUUUGAAACUAGACCUUUUGGAAGCAAACUCCUACAAACUGUCAUCAAUGUUAGCAGAACUUGAGCAAAGACCUCAACCCAGCCAUCCUUGUAGUAACUCCAUCUUCAGGUGGAGGGAAAAGGAGCAUACUCAUAGCUAUGUGAAAAUAUCUCGGCCUUUUUUAAU